GGCAGAAGGCGCUCAGACGCUCCUCGGACUCCUUCGGAACGGACGGUGCGCUGCUGUCUCUGGGAGUCCGGUUGUUUUCUGGGGCAGAAUGGCGUGCAUCGUUUUCUGAGGUGAAGAGGAUGUUCUGUCUGUUGCUUCAUUUUGCGUGCAGGCUGUUCUGGAGAGGCGUAGCUUCCUCCCGGGGUUUUCGAGCGCUGGUGAUAUUUGCAGCCAUUCUGAAAUCUGCAGUGCAACAGCGAAUUCCACCUCUUGUAGAGGCUCGGGUUCUUCAUCACGUGAGUUAGCGGUGGUUUACCUAAGAGGAGGAGAGGACGUGUGUGCGUUCAUCAGACUCUGUCUUCAGGAAGUUCGAGAGCACAGUGAGGUCUGCACCUAGCUGCCGAUAGCCUGGAUUCAGCAGUUCCUUGUCUUUCGGAUGAUUGACAUCAGAGUUACGGAAUCACAAGCUUGGAAACGACCUGCAAGAUCAUCUAGUCCAACCACCCUCCCAUUCUUAUCAUUGCCACAAGCUACUCGACCAUCUCUCGUAGCUCCUCAUCCCGGCGCCUCUUGAACCCCGCCAGGGAUGGCGACUCCACCUCCUCCCUGGGCAGGCCAUUCCAGUGCCUGACCACCGUCUGAGAGAAUAAGUUUCUCCUAAUGUCCAACCUAAACCUCCUCUGGUAUGACUUCUUGCCAUUUCUUCGGGUCCUACUAUUUGCCUGGGAGAAGAGGUCGGACCCUUUUGCACUACAGCCUCCCUUCAGGAAGUUGUAGAGUCCCCUGAGCCUCCUCUUCUCCACACUGAACAAUCCCAGCUCCUUCAGCCUCUCCUCAUAAGACUUGUGCUCCAGACCCCUCACCAGUUUCGUUGCCCUUCUCUGGACACGCUCCAGGGCCUCAAUGUCUUUCUUGUAGUGAGGGGCCCCAAAACUGAACACAGUACUCGAGGUGCGGCCUCACCACUGCUGAGUAAAGGGGGAUGAUCACCUCCCUGCUCCUGCUGGCCACACUAUUUCUAAUGCAGGCCAGGAUGCCGUCGGCCCUCUUGGCCACUUGGGCACCCUGUCGGCUCAUGUUCAGCCGAGCAUCAACCAACACCCCAAGGUCCCUUUCCUCUUCACAAUCAUCCCACCACUCAUCCUCAAGGCUGUCACGCUGCCUAGGGUUGUUGUGGCCAAAGUGCAGAACCCGACUCUUGGCCUUGUUAAAGCUCAUCCCAUUCAUCUCAGGUCAGCGAUCCAGGUUACCUAGAUCCCUCUGCAGGGCUUCCCUGCCCUCAGGCAGAUCGACACACCCUCCCCACUUGGUGUCAUCUGCAAACUUACUCCGGGUACACUCAAUCCCUUCAUCUAAGUCAUCAAUAAAGAUAUUAAACAGGAUGGGCCCCAGCACCGACACCUGGGGGACACCACUUGUAACAGGUCUCCAGCUGGACUUCACUCCGUCGACCACCGCCUGUUGAGCACGGCUCUCCAGCCUUUUCCUUAUCCAACAGAGUGUAAAACUAUCCAAGCCACGGGCAGCCCCUUUGCCCGGUCCAAUCAUUGCGCUGAUUUCAGCGCCAGAAUUGGCUUUUGGCUUUCCAAAUUUGAGACUAAUGCGGUCUGAUCAUUUGGCUGAUUUCAGCAUUGUUAUUGC